GCAGGAUUAGUUAAGUGAUAGAAUGUGACUUGCCAAGGUCAAGACACGAGUUUGAUUCUCGUAUCCUGCU